rnacentral:lncRNA from 1 species
GCGCUCCGCGAUGCCCUUCAGGUAGAGCGCGCACACACGGCUGGCUGAACUGAAGGCAGAAGAAGAGGCGCGCGCCGAGGAGGACAUUUACAGGACCGUGGGAUGUUUUCAAUGCGCUUCUGUGUUAAUUCUCUGGCCGGCGCGAUUCCUUCCUUUUGCACAGAAGCUGCUCUCGCCGUGAAGAAGGACCCUACAUCUGAGUGCAGUGCCUGCAUAGACGAAAACAAUAGCACAGUGAGUUCACUUUAUCUCUUAUCUCUUAAUGCUCUCUGAAAUGUGGUUAUU